ACGUCGGGCUGCGCCGCCAUCGUGAGUGAGGGCAGCUGUGGCCGCCAUGUUUGUUUGACGGCUGUCUCAGGGUGGCUGGUGGUGGGUUCUGCCCUCACUUAACGUGGCCGCCGGGGAGGUGGUCACGUGAUCUUAGUGCUUCUUUCCACCCCACCCCCCCCCCCGACUCCUCUCGGCUGCGCCCGCUGCGGGGCGGACACGUGGAGACGCGGGGCGGGACGGGGCAAAGCGGUGCCGCAACGAGGGUGGAGGUGAGACAGAGGGGAGUGAUGGCGGCUCCUUGAGGGACGAGGCGGGAGGUUAAAUAUACACAAAUUUUGGACGCAGGAUGGCUCAGAAGAGGAGCUCAAGUGGGCGGUCAUUCCCGUUGUUGUUGUUGAUUAUUGUUGUGGCCUUCAUUCAUUUAACUGUCUGCCCAUUUACAAAAGUGGAAGAAAGCUUUAACCUACAGGCUAUCCAUGAUGUUGUGUACCACCAACUGGACUUGGAUAAGUAUGACCACCAUGAAUUUCCUGGAGUUGUCCCGAGAACGUUUCUCGGACCACUAUGUAUUGCUGCUCUUUCCAGCCCAGCUAUAUACAUACUUUCCCUGUUAAAAAUGUCCAAAUUUUACUCCCAGCUGAUUGUCCGAGGGAGCUUGGGGCUCAGUGUCAUUUACACACUAUGGAAGUUGCAAAAAGAAGUUAGAAAGCAAUUUGGAGCAACUACGUCAACAGUCUUCUGCCUCAUAACUGUUACUCAGUUUCACUUGAUGUUUUACUGUACGCGAACACUUCCCAAUGUAUUUGCACUUCCUUUUGUGCUGUUGGCAUUGACGUUUUGGAUACAGCAAAAGCAGAAGCCAUUCAUUUGGUUUUCAGCUUUGGCAAUUAUAGUCUUCAGAUCAGAGCUUGCCAUAUUCUUAGGCCUCAUGCUUCUAGUGACGUUUUUAACCAAAAGGAUCUCCAUUUUAAAAAUACUCUCCCAUGCUGUUCCUGCUGGAUUUUUUUGGUUGGGGCUAACAGUGGCUGUGGACUCUCUGUUUUGGAGGCAACUUGUAUGGCCUGAAGGGAAAGUACUCUGGUACAAUACAAUUUUAAACAAAAGUUCCAACUGGGGAACAUCCCCCUUUUUUUGGUAUUUCUAUUCAGCUCUGCCUCGUGCUUUGGGAUGCAGCAUUAUAUUUGUACCUUUAGGUGCAGCAGAGAAGAGAACUCGGAUAUUACUUUUGCCAGCACUGGGCUUUAUUUUCUUGUAUUCAUUUCUUCCACACAAAGAGUUGCGCUUUAUCAUAUACACUUUCCCCGUCUUCAACAUAGUAGCUGCUAAAGUGUGCUCACGAAUUCUGAAUAGCUACCGGAAAUCCUGGCUGUACAAACUUGGAUCUUUAUUUGUUGUAAUGCAUCUUCUAGUUAAUGCUGCUUAUUCCGGAACUUCUCUGUACGUGUCGCAUUUCAAUUAUCCUGGAGGAGUAGCAAUUCAGAAGUUGCAUGAGUUGGUACCUUCAACAGCAGAGGUCUCUGUUCAUAUUGAUGUCGCUGCAGCACAAACAGGAGUUUCAAGGUUUCUGGAAAUCAAUUCAGAUUGGAGGUAUGACAAAAGAGAAGAUGUGAAACCAGGAGACCAACUGAUGUUUUCUUAUACACACAUACUGAUGGAAACAAACCCUCUUCAGAUCUCACAUUACAAGACGACCCACAGGCCGCUGGCAAAUAUACCUGGCAUCAGUAAAAUUGGGUUGAACUUUACUGCACUACCUCCUUUUACUUUAAACUUAAAACCAAAAUUAAUACUUUUGGAAAAACUUCCUCUAUCAUCUUGACUGCAUUUUAUGUAAGUCUUUUGAUGUAAUUUUGCUGAUGACUGAAUGAUCUGUGACAACAGCAAAUUAUCACUCCAGCACUGCAGUUCAGCUUCUGUGAAAAGAUUAUGUAUCAGAGGAACUGAUCUGGUGGGGUGGAGCCUGUCCCGUGGUGGGUGGCUGUUGUGCAGGCUUCCUCACACUGAGAUCUGGCAGAGGCAACUUGCAGAACUCGUUAGUCCAGUCCCUGGCUCCUCUUGAAAUUGAAAUCACUGAAGUGCUAUCUAUUCGACUUGUCUUUGGAAGAAAACUCAGCUUCCUUUAGAGCCAGUUUGAACAUCAAAUAAUUCACAUGAUACAGAAGGAAGUAUAUGUGCAAAUAGCUGAGAACUUGGGACAUGAUGAAGGAAAACUCUUGAGUAAGGAUGUAAGUCCUUGUACGUUAAGCCUGAUCUACUUUAUGUAACUCCCUCACGGUGUAAGCUGUAACUCAAGAGCCUGAAGUGAAAUUUAUCCUGCCUAAAGUAAAGACAAACAUCUGGCAACGGUAACAGUGUGUACUACUACUUUCAGCCUUGUUGCUGAUUAAAGUAGAUACUGGCAGCUCGAAUUGGCCUAUUUAGGAGCAGAGAAAGGAAAUAUAUGGAGGAAGAAAUGAAAAACUGAAUUGCACUUUCAGACAGACUAGGGUUUAUUUAGAUCUGUUAUAUCUUGCGCUACAUCUGUGGUUCUCAAGAAGUGCUUAGUUUUUCUGUUUGAAACCAAGUUGGGUUUGUAGAUCGUGAUGCUGAGAAAAGCCUGGGAACUCUCAAAAAAGACUUCAGGGGACUGGGGCGGGUAGUUGAUGGAGCAGGAGUGCAGGUGGUUCUUUCUUCUAUACCUUCAGUAGUGGGAAGGAUACUGAGAGGAUCAAAAAAAUCCCACCUCGUAAAUAAAUGGCUUAGAGGUUGGUUCAAAUGCAGGAAUUCUGGGGUUUUUUGACUGUGGGGCAGUUUACUCAGCAUCUAGCAUGAUGGCUGCAGAUGGAAGUAGCUCCUCUCCAAGGGGUAAGAGGAUCCUAGCCAGGACUCAUUGAAAGGCCUUUAAAGUAGGUACGAAGGGAGAAGGGGACAAAAUGAGGGAUAAAACAAUUGCCCUGGUCAAGUUUGUGAUCUCAAGGAAUGUGGGCUUGGCAAAGAGUGAGGUCAGGACCCUGAACUUUGGAAGAGCAAACUUUAAGCUGUUCAAGGAAUUGUUGGCCAAGAUCUCCUGGGAUGCUGUCCUUAAAGAUGUUUAGCAAAGCUGGCUACUCAUCAAGCUUGUCUUUCUGUGAGAGCACAAGAGCUUUCCAUCCCUCUGAAUAUGAAGGCAGGCAGAGGAGGAAGGAAGCCAGCAUAGCUCAGCAGGGACCUGCUGGGGGCAAACUGAGAGCAAAGAAAGGUGAAUACAAGCUCUGGAAACAAGGGCUUGUUACCUGGGGAGAAUACAGGGAUGCUGUCUGGACUUGCAGAUGUGAGAUCAGGAAAGCCAAGGUGCAGGCAGAACUGAUCUUGAUGAGGGAUGUGAAAAACGAUACAAAGGCUUUCUGUGGGUACAUUGGCUAGAAGAGACAGGUCAAAGUGAGUGUACCUCCUUUGGUAAAUGUAAAAGGAGCGUUGGCUUCAAUGGAUAAAGAGGUGGCUGAGGUACUGAAUGAAUUCUUUGCCUUGAUCUUCAUGGACAGCCAGGAUUCUAAUGUUUCUCAUGUCUCUGAGCCCUGCAACUUUAAACCUCUAGGUGGGGAUCGAGGGAGUAAAACCCCUCCUACUGUAAGGGCAGAGCCUCAUGAGACUGAAUGCAUAUGAGUCCAUGGGGCCGGUUGGCAUGCACCUCAGGGUUCUGAAGGAGCUGGCUGAGGUGACUGCCAAGUUACUCUCCAUCAUAUCUGAAAAUUUGUGGUUGCCAGGUGAGGUCCUGGAUCACUGGAGGAGGGGUCACAUCACUCUCAUUUAUAAGAAAGGGAGCAAGGAAGACCUGGGAAGCUACAGGCUGGUGAGUCUCACCUCUGUGUCUGGUAAGAUCAUGGAACAGAUCCUCCUGGUUGACAUGCUUGGUCACAUGAGGAAUGAGCGUGUGAUCUGAGACAGCCAGCAUGGCUUCACCAAGGGAAAGUCAUGCUUAACCAAUCUGGUGGCCUUCUGUGAAGGGAUGAUGGCAUUGGUGGACAAAGGAAAGGCAACCAACAUAAUUCACCUGGACUUCAGCAUGGCCUUUGAUGUGGUCCCCCACCACAUCCCUAUCUCCACAUUGGAGGGAUGUGGAUUUGAUGGGUGAACCACCCAAUUAAUAAGGAAUUAGUUGAAAGGCCAGAGACAGAGGGUGGUGAUUGUGGUACCACCUGCAAGUGUAGGCCAGUAAUGAGCGGUGUCUUGGGUUUGUCUUGGGACAACUGCUCUUUAACAUCUUCAUCAAUGAUGUCAAUGACAGAAUUGAGUGGACCCUCAGCAAGUUUGCUGAUGACACCAAGCUGAGCAGUGUGGUUGACAUGAUGGAAGGAAGGGAUGCCAUUCAGAGGGACCUCAACAGACUUGAAAGGCAGGCUUGGGUGAAUCUAAUAAGGUUCAACACAGCAAAGUGCAAAGUUUUGCUCUUGGGCUGGAUGAGUCCCAGGCAUAUAUACAGACUGGAAGGAGCAGCCCUGCAGAGAAGGGCUUGGGGGUCCUGAUGGAUGGAAAACAACAUGAGUCAGAAGUAUGUUCUUGCAGCCCGGAAAGCAAAUGGGAUCCUGGGCUCCAUCAGGAGAGGGGUGGCCAGCAGGGACAGGGAGGUGAUUGUCCCUCUUGGCCCUUAUGAGGCCCAGUGUGGAGUAUUGUGUCCAGGUGUGGAACCCCUGGUACAAGAAAGAGCUGUUGGAGAGGAUCCAGAGGAGGGCCAUGAAGAUGAUCAGAGGGCUGGAGCACCUCCACUAUGAAGACAGGAUGAGGGAGCUGGGCUAGUUCAGCCUGGAGAAAAGAAGGCUGCAGUGACCUCAUGGCAGUCUUUCAGUACCUAAAAGGGAGCCUAAAAAGGGAGGAGAGUCAGCUCUCUUUGAAAGGGUAGAAGACAGCAGGACAAGGAGAAAUGGUUUUAAGCAGAGUGAGGGAAGAUUUAGGUUGGAUGUCAGGGGGAAGGUUUUUUCUAUAAGAGCGCUGAGGUGCUGGAACUCGUUGCCCAGAGAGGUUGUGGGUGCCCUGUCCCUGGAAGUGUUCAAGGCCAGAUUGAAUGGGACCCUGGGCAGCCUUGUCUCGUGUUAGAUGUGGAGGUUGGUGGCCCUGCCUGUGGCUGGGGGUAGGGGGUGGUUUGAGAUUCAUGAUCCUUGAGGUCCCUGGCCAUUCUGUGACCUGUGCAGGAGCGUGGCAGUGGUGGUUGUAAGAAUCCAUGGCAGUCAGUGUAUGUAACACCUCCACAACACAGGCCAAGAGUAACUGUAGCCUGCACCCUGAACAGGAAGGAGUAUCUGCCAAACUGCAACAGUUUUUUUGUUUUUUGUUUUUCCCCCCCCAAAAGGCUUAUUUCAACAAACCAACCAUACUUGGAGUAGGAAGUAAACUCUCUUCUAAAUUAAUGCUCUUAUCUCUAUGUCUUUUGUUGUCUUUAGAUCAGCAAGGAGCUUCCACAAGAGAUACAGAGCUGAUUUUCUAUUUUAAUGUGGAUGAAUAUUUGCAUAGAAGAAAGCGUGGGUUUAAGCUCCCUAGGUAUAAGAGGGCAUUAAGGAAGUCUCCUACCCCCUUACAAUCUUGGAGUGCAGCGUUACAAAUUUUUCUGCCUUUAGGGGCUUGGGAAGAGUUGGAGGAAGCAUCAAGUUACUACAUUAGCAGUGCAGAUAGAGACACACUUAGAGAAUUUGGUAGGAAUUUACAAAGGAAUAUUAAAGUUUGUGUUAUCAUUCAAGUUCAUAAAAAAGCCUAAUUCCUUUUGUCUUCACUGAUCGCAAAUAGCUAUGGCUUAGUGUAUAACUUCUUAAAACAAAAAAAAAAGAUGAAAUAAGGAAAGUGUAAUUAAAUGAUUGAAUAUACCUAAAGGAAGCAAAAAACAAAUAAAACACCAAAGGCAGGUAGUACAGUCCAUAUGUGAGUUAUGUCUAUGACAAUCAAACAGAAUGUGCUGUAAGACAUUAAAACUUAGAACAGCCUUUACGGUAAAACUAAAAGCAGUUGUACGUUGCAGGACUUGCUGAUUGACAGUAUUUUCAAUGAUGAAAGUAGAAGCAAAUUCAAAGCAUAACAUAAAAAGGAAAGAUUGAGGAACAGUGUCUGGUUUACAGAUUCUCUAUGUAUUAAAGCAUUCAGAGCUGGGGGAAAAAUACAAUUGUUUACCUUGUAUGUGUCCUGUAUACCUGCUGGGGGUUUCAAGAGAAGGCAGGGGAGAGGACAGGUGAAGAACAGUUGUCACAGAUCAGACAAAAUGCAUUUCUCUGUUAACUGAGAAAAGUCAAAACAUGUAUUGGAUUAUAUCCAGUUUCAUUCAAACUAUCAAGAGUACAACCUCAGUACAGUAUAACUGCGUAAUGUGUUUGCAACAGUUUGAUCACUCCUUUAUCUCACUCCAGGGUCAUGUGUUCCCUUGGCGAGGCACAUUACACUUUCAGGUAAGUGAGGUGGAGAUGUGCUGUAGUUAACUGGCCUAGCAACUAUGCCAUUCUUCCUAAACCUCUUGUUAUGUUCAUAAUGCUAAGGAGCCUGAUGACAGCUAAUAAAACUUUAACCACUGAUUUGCUGUAUCUCAGCUUCAGUGCAUCUGUGUGUGUUUCUCUUGAAUCUGAGUGCUUUUUCAAGUAGCUACACAGAAGCUACACAGUAGUCUUGCCUUCCUCGCCUCAUUAGGUUCAUUCUUAAUUUCCACCCUUCACUUUCUAUUUGCAAGAGAAGAGCAAAACCACAGACUGAGUUUAUCACCAGUGUCUGUUUAGCCACAGCUUUCUCAGUUAGAUGGUUACGUAAUUAGUCACAGCACUGUCUUAAAUGAAGUUUGCCAUUACGUGCUCAGCGUGUGACACAGAUUAUGGUGAUGUUUGUGAAAAUUCCCAGCUAAAUGACAUACAUAGAAUACCACAGUGAAGGUUUUGUUUUUUAUUUAAAUGUAUGUGGUUUUUGUACUUAAGUAUACAAGCCAUUUUAUAUAGAGCUUCUAUCAGCUCCUUAGAUGGCCGUGAGCAAUUACAGCUACUUUUAGUUGUUUGUUACAGAAUUUUUUUUUAGAAUAAGGACGCUCAAUGCUUUUUCUGAAUUUCCUCAUCUUACUGUCGUGGGCAGGCUGACACAAAUCCUGCUUUAUUUCAGCUGAAACUGCUGUUGGUUCUGUAUCAAGGCUUUGACUGCUGUCCAGUUAGGUCAAGCGUAAGGUAAAAACACCUUCUGAAAUUGCGGCCAUCUUUUCCUUUAAAACUGGCAUAAGGGACUUAAGCAUAGAUCUUGCCUUUGGAAUCGAAGCUGGAACCUAAGUUGGGUACAUCACUGUGGUUGCCAUUUCUGUCUGUUAUGUUCAUUUUAUGAAACAAGGCAGUUUUGGGUCAGCUUUGCAAGGAAACCAGGAAGAUAAAAAGUCACUCUUGUUGCUAAGAAUAAGGCAAAGGAUGAACGUACUUGUGGGAAGACUAGAACUUGGUUUAAAUGGUUUUUAAAAAGUAAAUCUUAUCCGUAAUUAGAAAGUAAUAUUUGAAAAUUACAGGUUUAUUUUUCCCAGUUUUGGAAAUCCCUAAACAAAAGUCUGUUACAUCCAUUCUGUACAGUGAUUAAAAAAAAAGCUGUUGCAGGGGACAAAUCUCUCAACCACUUCACCCAUCUAUUUUGAGCUUGUCGUAUGUAUCUGAAUUUUGUUAAUCGCAUCCUUAUGCUACAAUUACACAGUUCUAGACUGAGAGUUCUGUUCUUUGUAAAGAAAGAAGCUAUUCUUGGAGAGUGGGGAGAAGCUAUGUGCGUUCCCAAUGAAUGGUCACUGGAUGAAUUCUGUAGUCAGCAGGUUUACUUUGUGGGCAUGGAAUGAGGCCAAAUAGGAAAGGGCCAAAUGGGAGAAGCAUUAUUGUGUUAUAUAUAGAGUGCAAGAUAUAUCUCAAUAAAUUAAUUAUAUACCCCUGCAAGACUUGAGGUGUUUUUGAAAAAGUUAUUGAAGAUACCUAUUUCUUCCCCUUCCUACCUUUAGUACUGCAAAAUGUUCCUUACUGCAGUGUGGUUAGUGGUUACACCUAUGCCUCCUCUUAAAAGACACAAAAGCUCUUAGAUCCGUAUAAUGACAUCUUUAGUACCAUCUGCACUAAAUUUAUUUCUGAAUUUGAUUUGGAAAUUACUAAUGCACUGAAAUUAGCUGUUUAAACAAAGUUCAUAUCACUGCUGUAGAUUCAUGUAGAUUAUACAUUAGAGAACCGUACUGCUGCAGGGACAAGCCCAGCAGAAACUCAGCUUGAUGAAAACUCCUACUUUAACAGAUCUUGUGCCUUAUUGAAGUCUGGAAGAGUAUAAGGUAAAAAUAAGGAAGUUUUUAAUGAAGGAUUUUCAUUACAAGUAUGAAAAGCAAAAAAAAAAAAAAAAAAAAGUUUUAGCAAUUGCUAAGAGCUUCUAUUAAAAAUAAUAUUUCUAAAAUAAAAUAAACACAAAACCCAACCCUAACAAUUUAUCUCAAUGCUUCAGCAAAAGCUUUCAGCACUUCUUUUGAAGGCACUCUUUUUCAGCAUCACUGCCUCAGCUAGAGAUGGAGAUGCUCACAUAACUCAUAUAAAAGGAUCAAGACUUCCGUUCCCAAAACAGCAACACUGUACUUUCAGUUUCUCUUGGUUUAAGUGACCUUUUUUAAAUUAUUUAGUGAAAAAAACAUCCUCUAAUAAGUGUAUUAUUAAUUCUUAACUGAGUUGAUACUGACACAGUGCUGUUUUAAGAAUUAAUGCUGUUCAAAAAAGUAAAUUACACUUGCAAAUGAAGUAGGCUAAGAAAGUUUUGCUACUUAAAAUAGCCACUACGGUUGUCACGCUCUCACAAGAUGUUUUUACAAAGAAUGUGGCCAUACAAGUAAGUAUCUUUCACAAGAAAAAAUUGAAGGCUACCUCAGAAUGUCGUCAUUUCAACUUCCUACGUGAGUUACAGGGAAUAAAGACUGCCUUAACGCAGAGCAGCCAAGAUACUUGUUUUCAGAGAACUGGGAAUUUCAGGUAAACUUGUUCAGUAUUUCUGCUGGUGUAAUGUAGCUCUACAGUGCCUCAGGAGUAAGGCUGUAUUCAUAAUCAUAUUGAAAGUCUUGAGUGAAAAAUGAUCCCUUGUUAAAUUAAAAAAUAAAAAGUUUCUUCACUCUCUACAUACCUCUUUCUGGGUUUGGAGAUAUUAAACUUCUCACAAAGGUCAAAGUUAUAUUCACAGUUAAAGUGCAGGAAAAAACUGGUAAUAAUUAACCAGUAACUACUUAAACAUGUUUCUCAAUAAGCUUCUUCAAAAUCACCUCAUUCAAACUGUACAUAAACUUGAACAAGUUGUUUUACUGCUGCAGAAAAAAAAAUAAAAUGUGAGCACCCAUUCUCAUUUAACCCUACAACAGGGAAAUGCUGACUGUUGAUGGUGUUAAAAGUUAACACGUAAAUUAACGGGCACAAAAUGCAGUGUGAGUUCUUCCCGAUUGUACCAUACUAAUAAUACAGGUAUAUUACUAUAACAGUACAGAUGUAAACAUAACUGCUUGACUAACAGUCAAAAUAUGUGAAACUACAGAAUGUUCAAUGAAAAAAUAACGUGGAAACCAAAAAUCACCUGGAAAGAAUUCACCAAACUGGCUAAAUACUUUAAAUGCAACUAAAAGCAAUUGUGGUUUUUGUUUUGUUUAGUCCUAAGAGAGAAAUGGAACACAAAUCUUUUCACAUAGCACGUUCUGUUGCGUCUUUAUGGCCGCAAUAAUUGCGAUUCAUUUUUAUUCAAAGGUUGUCUUUAAUCUGCCUGGAGGAAGGAAUAAAGAAAAAAAAAAAGAAGAGGCAGCGUUGACUACCACUGGAAAAUUGCAAAUAAAAUGUUUAAUUUCAGAAGUUCACCAUUUAUAAAUACACUAAAACAUAGUAAAUGCAAAAUUAGAUUAGGCAUAGGUACAGUAUUUUAACAAAGCUACAACUUUUCUAAAAGGUCAUAGGCAAAUGAUGACUUUUUUUUUUUUUUUUUUUUCCCCAAAAGGUAUUUAAU